rnacentral:lncRNA from 1 species
GCGCUGGGUCCCUCGGCUCUGCUCUCUCCGCGCGGCCUCUACUGGGACAGUUUGGGGACUGGGGGCGAUUGUAGCCCGUGCGCGGAGAGAGGAGGGAGGCUGCCUUCUGGGGCCGGCUUGUUUUUUGCUGGAUUCCCGUUGUUCGAGCUCUUAAAAGACGCCGCACGGUGCUCGGGUUUGGCGAGAUCCUCCGCGCAGCUCGCGGAUCCCGGACUUGAGGGGCCCCUCGCCCUGGCGAGGGGAAAGGGGGAGGGCGGACAGCUGCCUUUUUAAAGCGAUGGGGUUUUCUGUUCGGCUUCACUGCCCUGGCAUUUGCAGCGGUGAGGCUCACCGUCUGCGGCUCCUGUUCGCGCCUCCAACACAGCGCAUUCCCCCGCCGGGAAACAAAGCCGAGCGGCCUUUGCACUCCGGCUACAUUGAGAUUUAAUUUUUUUUUUUUUUCUUUUUCGGGCUUUCAUUGGCCCAGUCCAAGGCUGGGGAAAGUGGGGGAGGGGAGGAAUGUCGAUCCCAGGAUUGCGAAAUCUAGCCCUUCCGAGCCCCGCAUCCCCUUUCCCGGCGCCACGAUGGAUCGGUGGCGGAGUUUCCCCAACUCGCAGCUUCUCUGGAGAAGGUUCCCGCACCCCGGUUUGGCCGCGGGGAGGGCGCAGGAAGUGCGCCUCUUACACCCUGCAGGGUGAAAGCAGCGCCGCGGGGCCGGACUGAUUUCCUGGCAGCUACCCGGGGAGCGGCUGCUUCUUUAGCAAUCGGGGAGAGGCGUCCGGGGGAAAUGGGAGGACUAGGCUUAUCUGUAAUGAGUUUUGUCCCUUGGCUCUCGGUAAGAAGAUCUUUAUCGCUUAGACUUCUAAGCGCCCUAUUUUACAUUCUUAACGCUGGGGCUAAAAGUGGGGGAGGCGGGCUUUCGAGUAAAUGUGUAACUGAGCCAAGGUAAUUAGCCGUUUGACAUUUUUUGCCUAAUUUUUCUGCCUGUGUUUCAAAGCGAUCUUGACGUGGGAUUGUUUU